GGGUUGUGAGGUUAAGCGACUAAGCGUACACGGUGGAUGCCCUGGCAGUCAGAGGCGAUGAAGGACGUGCUAAUCUGCGAUAAGCGUCGGUAAGGUGAUAUGAACCGUUAUAACCGGCGAUUUCCGAAUGGGGAAACCCAGUGUGAUUCGUCACACUAUCAUUAACUGAAUCCAUAGGUUAAUGAGGCGAACCGGGGGAACUGAAACAUCUAAGUACCCCGAGGAAAAGAAAUCAACCGAGAUUCCCCCAGUAGCGGCGAGCGAACGGGGAGCAGCCCAGAGCCUGAAUCAGUGUGUGUGUUAGUGGAAGCGUCUGGAAAGGCGUGCGAUACAGGGUGACAGCCCCGUACACAAAAAUGCACAUGCUGUGAGCUCGAUGAGUAGGGCGGGACACGUGGUAUCCUGUCUGAAUAUGGGGGGACCAUCCUCCAAGGCUAAAUACUCCUGACUGACCGAUAGUGAACCAGUACCGUGAGGGAAAGGCGAAAAGAACCCCGGCGAGGGGAGUGAAAAAGAACCUGAAACCGUGUACGUACAAGCAGUGGGAGCACGCUUAGGCGUGUGACUGCGUACCUUUUGUAUAAUGGGUCAGCGACUUAUAUUCUGUAGCAAGGUUAACCGAAUAGGGGAGCCGAAGGGAAACCGAGUCUUAACUGGGCGUUAAGUUGCAGGGUAUAGACCCGAAACCCGGUGAUCUAGCCAUGGGCAGGUUGAAGGUUGGGUAACACUAACUGGAGGACCGAACCGACUAAUGUUGAAAAAUUAGCGGAUGACUUGUGGCUGGGGGUGAAAGGCCAAUCAAACCGGGAGAUAGCUGGUUCUCCCCGAAAGCUAUUUAGGUAGCGCCUCGUGAAUUCAUCUCCGGGGGUAGAGCACUGUUUCGGCAAGGGGGUCAUCCCGACUUACCAACCCGAUGCAAACUGCGAAUACCGGAGAAUGUUAUCACGGGAGACACACGGCGGGUGCUAACGUCCGUCGUGAAGAGGGAAACAACCCAGACCGCCAGCUAAGGUCCCAAAGUCAUGGUUAAGUGGGAAACGAUGUGGGAAGGCCCAGACAGCCAGGAUGUUGGCUUAGAAGCAGCCAUCAUUUAAAGAAAGCGUAAUAGCUCACUGGUCGAGUCGGCCUGCGCGGAAGAUGUAACGGGGCUAAACCAUGCACCGAAGCUGCGGCAGCGACGCUGAUGCGUUGUUGGGUAGGGGAGCGUUCUGUAAGCCUGCGAAGGUGUGCUGUGAGGCAUGCUGGAGGUAUCAGAAGUGCGAAUGCUGACAUAAGUAACGAUAAAGCGGGUGAAAAGCCCGCUCGCCGGAAGACCAAGGGUUCCUGUCCAACGUUAAUCGGGGCAGGGUGAGUCGACCCCUAAGGCGAGGCCGAAAGGCGUAGUCGAUGGGAAACAGGUUAAUAUUCCUGUACUUGGUGUUACUGCGAAGGGGGGACGGAGAAGGCUAUGUUGGCCGGGCGACGGUUGUCCCGGUUUAAGCGUGUAGGCUGGUUUUCCAGGCAAAUCCGGAAAAUCAAGGCUGAGGCGUGAUGACGAGGCACUACGGUGCUGAAGCAACAAAUGCCCUGCUUCCAGGAAAAGCCUCUAAGCAUCAGGUAACAUCAAAUCGUACCCCAAACCGACACAGGUGGUCAGGUAGAGAAUACCAAGGCGCUUGAGAGAACUCGGGUGAAGGAACUAGGCAAAAUGGUGCCGUAACUUCGGGAGAAGGCACGCUGAUAUGUAGGUGAAGCGACUUGCUCGUGG
rnacentral:rRNA from 1 species